rnacentral:rRNA from 1 species
CCUACGGGUGGCAGCAGUGAGGAAUAUUGGUCAAUGGACGAGAGUCUGAACCAGCCAAGUAGCGUGAAGGAUGACUGCCCUAUGGGUUGUAAACUUCUUUUAUAUGGGAAUAAAAUGUUCCACGUGUGGGAUUUUGUAUGUACCAUAUGAAUAAGGAUCGGCUAACUCCGUUCCAGCAGCCGCGGUAAUACGGAGGAUCCGAGCGUUAUCCGGAUUUAUUGGGUUUAAAGGGAGCGUAGGUGGAUUGUUAAGUCAGUUGUGAAAGUUUGCGGCUCAACCGUAAAAUUGCAGUUGAAACUGGCAGUCUUGAGUACAGUAGAGGUGAGCGGAAUUCGUGGUGUAGCGGUGAAAUGCUUAGAUAUCACGAAGAACUCCGAUUGCGAAGGCAGUUCACUGGACUGCAACUGACACUGAGGCUCGAAAGUGUGGGUAUCAAACAGGAUUAGAUACCCCAGUAGUC